UUCCUGUCUUCUUUGGAGGCUACAAAAAAUGUAUGAGGGGAGGAGAGAUACCCUGAGAGACCUGAAGUAAAAGUGCAGGAGACUGAGAGCCAAACGAGAGGAAGAGCUGCGCCCAGAGAAGCAGCUACGGAGAUGGAGGUAGAGAAGAAGAUGCAGAGCGGCAACGAGUUAUAGAUCUAUUAUUGGAAAUUGGUUUGGUGUGUCUACACUUCUGGAGAACCAGACAGAAGAGACCAAGUAAGGGCAUCCAAGGCAAGACUAGACCAACAAGGCUUGCCACAGACCCACUAUGAAACCCCAGAUUAAAAAAUCUACCAGGACCUAGGAUUCAGCCUGCUCCCUGCCCAGCCCAAGCUAGGGAACUGAAUGUCCAACACAAGUGAGAGAGGAAACACAAGCCGGGGACACAGGAGAGGCAGAAACAGACUUCCUCCUGAUCAGGAAGUCCGAUGUCGGGAUCUACCCCAGGACCCUGGGAUCAUGACCUGAACUGAAGGCAGAUGCUUAAGGACCAAGCCACCCAGGCAGGAACGACAGGUGGAAAGAAUGAGUCAGCCAUCUUGAUGCCCUGGACAUUUCUGUCAUUCACCUGUUCAAGGUUCCCUCUCCUUCAUGAGAUUACAGAUUCUCUUUUACCCCCUAUUUCCAUGCCCUGAUCAUCUCUCAUGGAUAGUCUUUCUUGUGAACUUACCAGGUGUCUUUUAGUUAUGGUAUGUUCUUCUACAAACUGUACUGUUCUUUCUAAAAUUUUAUUUAUUUUAUUUUUACUUUAUUUGUUUUAUUUUAAUAAAUAAUAUUGGGUUAUGUAUACCAUUCUUCCUUUUUCCAUUGAGCAUUAUGCUUCAAGGUGGACCCAUACUGCUGUGGGGUGUGUGUGUGUGUGUGUGUGUGUGUG